rfam:Triticum urartu cultivar G1812 contig105781, whole genome shotgun sequence.
GUUGUACUCCCUCCGUUCCGAAUUAUUUGUCGCGGGUAUGAAUGUAUCUAGAUGUAUUUUUGUUCUAGAUACAUCCAUUUCUACGACGAGUACUUUGAAACGGAGGGAGUACUUC